UUUUUUAUUUUCUUUUAUAAAAUUGUAACCCAAUUUUGUAUUUCACUACAAGAUAUCUGCACAAUAUGUGCGACACCAAUUUGUCUGCGGUGUCACCCCUAAUACUAAGUUAUACAUGUUUGGUGUUGCCGCUUAUGCCAUUGCCGCCGCAAGAAGUGUGUCUACUAAGAUGUAAUCGCUAAGGGCAUUAAGGAUAUGCGUCCUACUUUGGACACACCAAUCUAAAUAUAAACCAAACAGAAUCUCCUAAUCUAUCUGCUGCAGGGUUUUUUAAAUCCCAAAAUAUUCGGCUCUUUUUACAUUAGUUUUACACCAACACUUUUUACAUUAUAGUUGAAAUAAUUCAUUUCUAAAAUCAGAAAUAUCUUUUACUUUUUUAUAAGUUAUUUUAUUUGAAUUCAUUAUAAAACCAAAACUUCUAUUUUAUUAGUUUUCUUUUAUAAAAUUUUAACCUAAUUUUGAAUUUCACUACAAGAUAUCGGCACAAUAUGUGUGACACCAAUUUGUAUACAGUUUAGCACCUAAUACUAAGUUAUACAUGCUUGGUGUUGAUGCUAGUGCCAUUGCCGCCACAAAAAUUGUCGCUACUAACAUGUAUUCGCUAAGGGCAUUAACAAUAUGUGUCCAACUUUGGACACACCACUCUAAAUGAAAACCAAACAGAAUCCCCUAACCCAUCUCCUGGAUUGUUUUUUGAAAACUAAAAUAUCCGGCUGUUUUUAGAAUAAUUUUACACCAACACUUUUUACAUUAUAGUUGAAGUUAUUCAUAUAUAAAAUCAGAAACAUCUUUUACUUUUUUAUAAGUCAUUUUAUUUGAAUUCAUUAAAAAACCAAAACAUUUAUUCUUUUAUUUCUCUUUUAUAAAAUUGUAACCAAAUUUUAUAUUUCACUACAACAUAUCUGCACAAUAUGUGUGACACCAAUUUGUGUACGGUGUCGCCCCUAAUACUAAGUUAUACAUGGUUAGUAUUGCGGCUUAUGCCAUUGCCACCACAAAAAGUGUCGCUACUAAGAUGCAAUCGCUAAGGCCAUUAAUGAUAUGUGUCCUACUUUUGACACACCAAUCUAAAUAUAAACCAAAUAGAAUCUCCUAAUCUAUCUCCUGGAGGGUUUUUUGAACCCCAAAAUAUUCGACUAUUUUUAGAAUGGUAUUACACCAACACUUUUUACCUUAUAGUUGAAUUAAUUCAUUUAUAAAAUCAGAACAUCAUUUACUUUUUUAUAAGUCAUUUUGUUUUAAUUCAUUAUAAAACCUAAACUUCUAAUUUUUUAAUUUUCUUUUCUAAAAUUGUAAUCCAAUUUUGUAUUUCAUUGCAAGAUAUCUGCACAAUAUGUGUGACACCAAUUUCUAUACGAUGUCGAUGCUAAUGUUAGGUUAUAAAUGUUUGGUGUUGCUGCUUAUGCCAUUGCAGCCACAAAAUGGUCGCUACUAAGAUGUAAUCGCUAAGGGUAUUAACGAUAUGUGUCCUACUUUGGACAUACCAAUCUAAAUAUAAACCAAACAGAUUCUCCUAAUCUAUCUCCUUGAAGGUUUUUUGAAUUCCAAAAUAUUCGGCUCUUUUUAGAAUAGUUUUACACCAACAUUUUUUUACAUAUAGUUGAAGUAAUUCAUUUAUAAAAUCAGAAACAUCUUUUACUUUUUUUCAAGUCAGUUUAUUUGAAUUCACUAUAAAACAAAAACUUGUAUUUUUUUAUUUUCUUUUAUAAAAUUGUGAUCCAAUUUUGUAUUUCACUAUAAGAUAUUUGCACAAUAUGUGCGACACCAACUUGUAUACGUGUCGCCAACAAUGCUAAGUUAUACAUGGUUGGUGUUGCCGCAUAUGCCAUUGCAGCCACAAAAAGAGUCCCUACUAUGGACAUACCAAUCUAAAUAUAAACCGAACAGAAUCUCCUAAUCUAUCUCCUUGAAGGUUUUUUGAAUUCCAAAAUAUUCGGCUCUUUUUAGAAUACUUUUACACCAACACAUUUUACAUUAU
rnacentral:lncRNA from 1 species